CUAAGGCCGAUGGCGACCGGCGCACGGGUGAGUAACACGUAUCCAACCUGCCGAUGACUCGGGGAUAGCCUUUCGAAAGAAAGAUUAAUACCCGAUGGCAUAGUUCUUCCGCAUGGUAGAACUAUUAAAGAAUUUCGGUCAUCGAUGGGGAUGCGUUCCAUUAGGUUGUUGGCGGGGUAACGGCCCACCAAGCCUUCGAUGGAUAGGGGUUCUGAGAGGAAGGUCCCCCACAUUGGAACUGAGACACGGUCCAAACUCCUACGGGAGGCAGCAUG
rnacentral:rRNA from 1 species